GAGAGAGUUGCUACUCUCUUGCUUGGAGUUUUUAGUUCAAUCUUGAUUGGGAGGGUCGGGUUCCAACACUUCUCCUAUGAGAGUAGAGGCUUUGAGGGGAGGGGAUUGUAACCGGGUAAGUUUCUCCUUUAUUAUGGUUUGAUUUUAGGCUGGUUUAAUUAUUUUUAUAAUGAUGUCUUUCUCUGUUUCACUGUCUUUUAUUUUUGUCUUGGUUUGAUGCAUUUUUAUGGCUUGGACACUCGUUAUUUUGCCUAUAAAAUGGCUUUUAAAGGGAGAGAUUUUCUUCCUCUAUUGGCUUUUUGAAGUUUGUGUUUUGCUUUUUAUGAACGUGAAUUUUCCUUCUCCGUUGCAAUGGUUUGAUUUAAUUUUGAUUUUUCAUUUAGAUUCGUGCUCUAACUCUUCCGUGAUCGUUUUUGAUCAUCAUUUGUAUUUGGUUCUGUUGUUGUGAGAACAAUUAUUGAAUCUUUCCUUUUUCUUUGGAAAUAUUGUCUCUGUUUUUUGUUUGCCACUGUCGCUUUAUUUUCCGUUUCCUUUGAUCUAUAUCGGAGGUUAGUGGAGUUUUAUGGUCUUCCUUUCACUACUUGGAGGUGCUUUCUUUACGUGUUUUUUCACGAUAGUCUAUGAUAUAGUCUUUAGUACUCUUGCUUGAUUUCUUAUUGACAUUCACGAUAGUCUAUGAAGUCAACUUGGUUUGGUGUUGGUUUUUUCUAUCAUUUUGACUUCGCUUGGUUUUGAUUGUAUUUUGCAAUUUUUACUAUUGAAGUCAUUGGUUUUUCUUAGGUGUAUGUGUUGUCUAUGCUCUUUUCUUAGAGAUGGAAAUUGAUGUUACAAGGUUCAUCCUUUUGAAUUUAUGACUAUUGUCUUUUUUUUUUGUUUUUCAAUUAUAUGUAAGGGGUCGUUGUUUACGAGCUUUGCCUUUGAUGUUUUGGAUAGCUUGAGCUUUUUAUUUGUUUGUUUGUGCUAUCUUUUGAUUUUUCAUUUACAUCCCUGUGUUUUUGUUUACGGGAUUUUCCUUUGGUUUCUCAAAUGGCUUCUGCUGUUUAUUUAGGUAAGAUUGUGUUGUCUCUUGCUUUGGAGUCCUGCAGUUGUAUGUUUGUUCUAGAUGAAUUUGCUUUGUGUUUGUCUUUUUGCAUUUAGGGAGAUGUUAUGGUUUUUUUUUAACAAAAAAUGAGAUAUAGGUUGUGUGUCAUAUGCUCAAUACAACGUUGCAUGUUGCUUAAAGCCGUCAUGAUUUCUUUGUUUAUUUGGUUUGGUGCUAGUUUAAGGCCUUUGAAUAACUUGAUUUUUUGAAUCUUUUUCCAGGCUCAAUUGCAUCACGCCUUUGAGAGGUUAUGACUGUUUUUAGAAAGAUCUUGUUUAGAGUUUCGAAAAAUUGAUCCUGAUACUGCUACCUUUUCUAUUUUUAAAGGUUUGCUUUGUGAUUCUGUUUCUCUUUGGCUUAUAUCAUUUCACACUAGACAAAUUCAUAGAGGAUUGUUAUUUUGAAAAGCUUGUUGAGAUCAUGUACAAAGUACAAUGCUUUCUUGAUUUUUCAUGCAUUGUUUCUUUUACGUCGUUGUUGUGAUUGCAGGAUCUUUUUUGCAACUAUAUAUUCUACUUCUCUUAUGCUCUUCGCACUUUUUUCUUGCUUUGAAGUUGCGGAGAUGUUGUUAUGCUUUUUAGUUUUCAAAAUGAAAUUGAUGUUGUGUAUCAAGUGUUGGGUGCGAUGUUGCCUUCUCGGUAGCUCUGGAUUAGGUUCUUUGUUUGUUUGGUUUAAGGAUAACCUAAAAUUUGAACUGCUUUUCCAGGUUUAAUUAUAUCAUGGAUUUGAGAGGUUGUUGUAUUUUUUGAAGUGAUCUUCAUAGAACUUUAUCACGAUUGAUUCUAGUACUGCUCACAUCUCUCUCACUCUCUCUUAUAAAAAAAAACCUUUUUGUUAGUUCUUAUGCGUUAGACUAGAAUUGUCUAUGAGGCAUCUUUGCAUGAACACAAAGGUUUGUGAUGUUUAAUUGAGAUUAUGGAAGCUUAGUUUCAACAUUUAAGAUUCAUAUGUAUUUACUGUAAACGUAAUGGUUCCAUGUAGCAAUGCCAAAAAAAUUUUAAGGAACCAGAAAAAUUUAUCUUUUACACAUACAAUAUUACGACAACAGUCCUUUAAAAUGGUGGAAACUCCAAGAUGUAAAAUACCUUCAACCACUUUGUGAACUUUCAUCUAUGUAGAUUUUUACUGUCGACUUUAGAAUGAGUUAUUUCAGCUGCCACCUCCUUGGGUUAGCACUCUGUGUUUGAUUUUUUGGCACUAACUAUUUAAGCUCUUUGAAAAAGCCAAGAACCUUGAUUCCUCUAAAGGCUACAAUUGACACCUCUGUGACUAUCACAAUGAGCGUACUCUCGAGUUCAUAUUUUUUCUCCUUAUUUUUUCAUAUUGGUCCUGCACAUUGUUUGGUUGAUGUUUAAAUAUGGCAUCCUUUCUAUGUUUUUUUUUUCUUUAAUGCAUAUUGACUAUGUCUAGAGCAUCACAUACGAUGGUUCAUACAAUAACUCAGCUCCAUGACUGCAUGGUCCUAUGCAAAAAAACCCAAAUAACUAGAUGACUAUCAUAAGCUAUCUCCCAAAUAGUUUUCUGGUUUUUUUUCAAGCCAUGCACAUACAUUUCAGUCAUAUUUUGCAACAGAUUAAAAAAUUUUAGCCGUGACUGCAUUCUUUUCUUUCUGUUCAGCCCACAUCUCAAGUUCUUCAAUAUUCAGAUAUUGUUUCCUUCUAUUUCCUCUGUCAUUGGUGUUUAGAACCAACUCCAACUAUCUUUUGCAGAAGUAGUGAAGCCAUUUGGCAACUACGAUGUCCUCCAGGAUUCCAUUUUGCCGCUAACUAUGUAGGCUGCCACAACUCUUUCAAUGUUGGUGGACAGCAUAUGCUAAAAAACCCGUGUAAAUACUAGGAUAACAUUAGUUUGGUUAGAAUCCAUGCAGCCUUUUUGUCUUGCUUAGUUCUCUGUUUCAAACAUGUUUCUUAAUGCUUCUAUACUAAGCUAUUGUUGUAAUAACGAUUCACGAAUUUAGUAUAUUGAAAGGCUCUAUGCCAACUAAAACUAUCACUCCC
rnacentral:lncRNA from 1 species